rfam:Rattus norvegicus chromosome 4, whole genome shotgun sequence.
UGUCUGUGGGACUGGAUGCCUGCGCGGCCCAAUGCUCUGGGAAAUGAAGCAGCUCAAUAAAAACUUCUGAUAUUAGUUUUUAUAGGUAUUUACACUUUGGUUUGGGUAGCUGGGUACGGAAGCUUCAUUAAUCAGUCCCCGACCUUGGGUUUGGGCUGGGAAAAG